rnacentral:rRNA from 1 species
GAUGAACGCUGGCGGCGUGCCUAAUACAUGCAAGUCGAGCGAACAGACGAGGAGCUUGCUCCUCUGACGUUAGCGGCGGACGGGUGAGUAACACGUGGAUAACCUACCUAUAAGACUGGGCUAACUUCGGGAAACCGGAGCUAAUACCGGAUAAUAUAUUGAACCGCAUGGUUCAAUAGUGAAAGACGGUUUUGCUGUCACUUAUAGAUGGAUCCGCGCCGCAUUAGCUAGUUGGUAAGGUAACGGCUUACCAAGGCAACGAUGCGUAGCCGACCUGAGAGGGUGAUCGGCCACACUGGAACUGAGACACGGUCCAGACUCCUACGGGAGGCAGCAGUAGGGAAUCUUCCGCAAUGGGCGAAAGCCUGACGGAGCAACGCCGCGUGAGUGAUGAAGGUCUUCGGAUCGUAAAACUCUGUUAUUAGGGAAGAACAAAUGUGUAAGUAACUAUGCACGUCUUGACGGUACCUAAUCAGAAAGCCACGGCUAACUACGUG